AGUGAACGCUGGCGGCAGGCCUAACACAUGCAAGUCGAGCGGCAGCGGGUCCUUCGGGAUGCCGGCGAGCGGCGGACGGGUGAGUAAUGCGUCGGAAUCUGCCUUUUUGUGGGGGAUAACGUAGGGAAACUUACGCUAAUACCGCAUACGACCUACGGGUGAAAGUGGGGGACCGCAAGGCCUCACGCAGAAAGAUGAGCCGACGUCGGAUUAGCUAGUUGGCGGGGUAAAGGCCCACCAAGGCGACGAUCCGUAGCUGGUCUGAGAGGAUGAUCAGCCACACUGGAACUGAGACACGGUCCAGACUCCUACGGGAGGCAGCAGUGGGGAAUAUUGGACAAUGGGCGCAAGCCUGAUCCAGCCAUGCCGCGUGUGUGAAGAAGGCCUUCGGGUUGUAAAGCACUUUUGUCCGGAAAGAAAUCCUGUCGGCUAAUACCCGGCGGGGAUGACGUUACCGGAAGAAUAAGCACCGGCUAACUUCGUG
rnacentral:rRNA from 1 species